rnacentral:tRNA from 1 species
GCUGAAGUAGCUCAGUUGGUUAGAGCAUGUGGCUGUUAACCACAAGGUUAAAGGUUCAAGUUUUUCCUCUAGCG